GAGCAUGAAUACAGAAGACCCAGACCUCCGAGGGGGCCCAGGAUGAUUGGUGUCUAGCAUUUCCAAGCCCUUCAACUAGGAACCCAGCAAGGAAGACAGAGCACUGGACAGGGAGGGCAUCAUUUGAGUAGGCAGCGCUGGCUUUAGCAACAGCACAUAGCAACCAAUACCCUCAUUAUCCCUGGGUGACAACCAGCAAGGACCAGGGGGCGGUGGGUUCAAAUACCACCACUCCGGCAGACUCAGCUUGAAGUUUUGUCAAGCGUCCCCCCUCCAAUAAAAUGGGGAUAAGAACAACCUCCUUCACAGGGUUGUUGUGAAAGCAAAGCAAGUUUUUUUUAAAAAAAUAUUGACUUUCAAUAAUACAAUGUACAUUAAAAAAAAACAAGAAGUGGCACAACCCUUCCUCCCAAUCACUCCCCUGUCCUCAAGUGUCUAGACUUCUCAUUGCCUGCACUGAGCUGCUUUGGUAGUUUUCCCAUGAGUGCGGUUUGCCACACUUUCUGAAGCCACUGAUCAAGAGUCAAGUUAGAAGCCAACUUCUAGUUUUCUGCCACUAAUUGGGGAGCAGAGAUCAACAAAAAAGGUCAUCUCUACAAGGGGAGAGGAAGUUUCAAAAACGGUAUCAAAACAUCCAAUCUGCAAGUUCAUCCAUUGCCAAAACAAUUACCUAUCUCAUCAAUCAAUUGUUGUUUAAGGUAACAACUCUUACAACCGCAUGUGAUGAUUACAUCACACCAACAGAGCGGACGUCACAACAGCAAGAGCAAAAAGAGUCAGCUGCUGUUAUUCUUGGUGUCAUUUGCCACCCUGGACUCCUAUUGGGAGGAAGGGUGGGGUAUAAAUCUAAUAAAUAAAUAAAUAAAAUAAUGUAGCCAGGCACAUUUAAGUUUGGGGUUGAAUAUGGAUGGAGCUAUGGUCAUUCCCAUUGCUUGGUCACACUCAAGUGGCAGAAUGCUAGGAAUCAGCUUAUACAUUAUUGCAGCAGUGGGGAAACCUCUGCCUGCAGGCCUAAUUAGAUCCACCAGGACUCCCAAUUUGGCCAAGCCCUAUAUCUGAAUAUGAUGUCAGGUGUGGGUGGGGCAAAGGAGAGGCUUGCAGGCACCUGAUUGCUGAUCAGCUGACUGUUGGCACUUCCAAAUGCCCCAUGCACUUUGCUUUGCAAACCAUGACCAAC